UACGAAGGGGGCUAGCGUUGUUCGGAAUUACUGGGCGUAAAGGGCGCGUAGGCGGUUUAACAAGUUGGGUGUGAAAGCCCAGGGCUCAACCCUGGAACUGCACUCAAGACUGUUUUACUUGAAUUCGGUAGAGGAUGGUGGAAUUCCCAGUGUAGAGGUGAAAUUCGUAGAGAUUGGGAAGAAUAUCCGUGGCGAAGGCGGCCAUCUGGACCGACAUUGACGCUGAGGCGCGAAAGCGUGGGGAGCAAACGGG
rnacentral:rRNA from 1 species